GUUUUUACUUUUCUAAAUAAUUUUCCGGAUUUGGAGUUGGAAAAUUUAUGGCCAAAUACAACGUAUUUUCUCUUUUUUUUUUUUUCCACUAAAUUGAAAUAAUUUUUUGAAAAAAAAGGAAAAAAGUUGUAUGGCAAAAUAUUUAAUUUCUAAUUAUCCCUGCAGAACACUCAAUUGAUGGUAUCGUGAUUAGUUUUCAAUUUGUACUUUAUUAUUUUAAUUUGGUUGAUGAAUUUUGCUGACUGCUACGGCUUAUCUGUCUAUACUUAGGUCAUAAAUUUAGUCUGGUAGAAUUUUAACGAUGAUAAAUUUACGUGAUUUUUAUUUUUCCAUCAAUUUAAUUCUACGUAUUAAGAUUGCAAGUGAAUUGUUUGAUGAAAGUACUAAGCAAGCUUGAGUUGGUUAAUUCGAAAAUGGAAGUGUGUUCCAUACAUUCAAUAUCGUAGACAAAAUUUUACCUGAGGGGAAGCAUAUAGUAUAAAUUUAUACAAUAAUUACUUACCUGCACUAAUUUUUCAGUGAAUUGACACUCCUAUAUAAGGAGAAAAAAAAAGUAUUUUGCAGUGAGAGGAAGAAGAGUAGUAAUUUGUUUUUUCUCGUACCAAAUCAGCUAUGGAAGGUGCAUCUUCUCCGACUUGGGAACAAAUUGAACUUUCAGAAAGAUAUCUGGUGUGUUGUAUGUUCCAAGAAGCGUCUUCCUCAGUUAUUGAGCAAUUGGUUGAGAAAAGUAAUGAAUUUGUU